UGUAUUUUAAGCUCACGGUUGGUUAAAUCUUUGGAGAAAUAAUGUGUGAAUCAUUUUGGCAGCUUGAUGAUUAAUGUUUUGAAGGAAUAGUGGAGUGCAUGUACGGGUCAAGCAACCAUAAAGGAAGUGCAAAAGUAAAGAUAGUGUACUGUGGUGGCGUGUCGGACAAAAUAAAGAGCGAUCGGCAAGUAGAAAUAGCUAAAUACGUCCCCGAAUUAAUAGCGAUGUAAUAUCCCGCUAUCGUAAGCGAAAUUCAUUCUCGCUGCAGCGAGAAACUCUCGGGUGUUGGGGGCUUGACUAGCCCGAAUUUUUGAUGCAGCGGAAAUGCAUUCUCGCUGCAAUGAGAAACUCUCGGGUGGUUGGUUCAAAAUUUUGCCUUGGAUUUCGCUGCAACAAAAUUUCAUUCUUUGCAGCGAGAAACUCUCGGGUGGUUGGUUCAAAAUUUUGCCUUGGAUUUCGCUGCAACAAAAUUUCAUUCUUUGCAGCGAGAAUGCCUUUUCGCUGCAGCGAGAUUCCUUUUGCCAUGCUUGCCUUGCUUGGAUUCUAUUGUAGUUUUCACUCCUUUUAACUUCAUGAUUGACCAUGGAUCCUUUAACACUAAGGGAUUAAAUAAUCAAAGUUUGAAAUCAGGGGUUUUAGUAAGAAAUUAAAUUAAAUUACAUUGUUUUUAACAUAA